CCGCUUCCAGGCGCUUCCGCUUCCAGGCGCGCGGUGCUAGUACCGGCCCCCGGGCUGGGAACACCUCCAGGCCAGCGCUUUAGCAUCAUCCGAGGCUCUCCGCUUCCUCAGGGGGACCCGAGUUCUUCCACGCGACUCGCUCCUCUGAGAGGCGAUGCCUGGGAGUGUAAACCAUGCGAGUGUUCCUCUGCGGUUCCCCAAUUCCUAGCCCGACGCCUUGCACAGAGCGGGUCAUUCAAUGCAUGAAUGAAGAAAAGAGGAACCAAGGGGGGAAUUACGGAUGGAAAGCCAGUACUUGCUAUGGACCCCAGAGUGGAGAUUCUCUACAGAAUGACUAUUUGUGAGAAGGAUCUGAGCGGCCACUUCCAGUGAGAAAGAGCAUUUUGGAGAGAAGAGUAGCAUCUCUACAUACCUCCGAUGAGAAGCAUAAUUGCCGG
rnacentral:lncRNA from 1 species